rnacentral:rRNA from 1 species
GACGAACGCUGGCGGCGUGCUUAACACAUGCAAGUCGAACGAUGAACCGGAGCUUGCUCUGGGGAUAAGUGGCGGACGGGUGAGUAACACGUGGGCAACCUGCCCCAGACACCGGGAUAACCAUUCGAAAGGAUGGCUAAUACCGGAUACGACCACUUCGGGCAUCCGAUGGUGGUGGAAAGGAUUCUGGUCUGGGAUGGGCCCGCGGCCUAUCAGCUUGUUGGUGGGGUAAUGGCCUACCAAGGCGACGACGGGUAGCCGGCCUGAGAGGGCGACCGGCCACACUGGGACUGAGACACGGCCCAGACUCCUACGGGAGGCAGCAGUGGGGAAUAUUGCGCAAUGGGCGAAAGCCUGACGCAGCGACGCCGCGUGAGGGACGAAGGUCUUCGGAUUGUAAACCUCUUUCAGCAGGGAUGAAGCGAAAGUGACAGUACCUGCAGAAGAAGCACCGGCUAACUACGUGCCAGCCGCCGCGGUAA